rnacentral:ribozyme from 1 species
GGCAUCAUUGUUCCUGGAUCAUCAAGACAUUGACAACGACGCUGUUUGCUCCAUCAGCGAUGAGAUAAUUUUU